UUUUAGGAUUGGUAAGCAACUCUUACCUGUCACUUUUGUAUUGGUACUCCUGUUGUCUCUCUCUUUCUCUGCUUCUCCUUCCGUCCUUUGUCUUCUUCGCGUUUUGAUCUGAAAUCAAUUUUUUUCUUCCUCCAAUCUCGAUUUCUCUCCUCUUUGUUGUUGCGUAAAGACAGCCGUAUCUAAGGAUCGAUUUAGGGUUUCCCCAGCGAUGUCGCGGCGAGGCGGUGGACCCGUGACGGUGUUGAAUGUGGCGGAGAAGCUGUCGGUGGCGAAAUCCUGCAGGUGGCACUCCUGCAACCCGGCGGAUCUGUACCAAGCUCCGGUAAUGAAACACGUCCCCGAGGAUAAGAAAAAUAUCAAGAAGACAUAGGAGGAGGAUGCUAGGAGAAGCGAUUGGCUAGUGCUGUGGCUUGAUUGUGAUAGGGAAGGUGAAAACACUGCAUUUGAAGUUGUGGAUGUUUGUAGAGCUGUGAAACAUAAUAUGUAUAUACGGAGGACUCAUUUCUCUGCGUUAAUUGACAGGUUAAAGAAUGCUAAAACCCGCUAUUUUCUUUUGUAUGUUCUCACUCUACAUUAAACAAUAGAAUCUAGUGUAAUGGUGUGUUGACAUUUGAAUUCUUAGGGAAAUUCAUGAAGCAGUUCAAAAUCUCAGAGAGCCUAAUUAGUUGUUUGCUCAGACUGUUGAUGCUAGACAAGAGAUAGACCUACGCAUUGGUGCUUCUUUCACUAGAUUUCAGACUAUGCUUCUGAAAGAUAGGUUCUCCAUUGACUCCACGGGCAAUAAAGAGAGGAGUCGUGUAAUAAGUUAUGGUCCCUGUCAGUUUCCUACACUAGGCUUUAUUGCAGAGAGAUACUGGGAGAUCCAGGCACAUGAACCAGAAGAGUUUUAGACAAUCAACUGUUCUCACGAAUCAGAAGAUGGCCUUGCCACCAAAGCAGAGAACAAGUAUGUCAUGUUUUACAAUCUUUUUAUAGGUUUUUUUGGUUUGAUCUACUAAACAAUUGAAACAUGGAACAGAGUUGAGAAGAAGAUGUCUGUUAAAAAUUGCUAAUUAUAAAUUUGUAUUUAAAUUUUAUGAAAUCUAAUAAUUUAUAAGUUUUAUAAAA